GAUCCUGGCUCAGAACGACGCUGGCGGCAUGCCUAACACAUGCAAGUCGAACGAAGCCUUCGGGCUUAGUGGCGCACGGGUGCGUAACGCGUGGGAAUCUGCCCUUGGGUUCGGAAUAACAGUUAGAAAUGACUGCUAAUACCGGAUGAUGUCUUCGGACCAAAGAUUUAUCGCCCAGGGAUGAGCCCGCGUAGGAUUAGGUAGUUGGUGGGGUAAUGGCCCACCAAGCCGACGAUCCUUAGCUGGUCUGAGAGGAUGAUCAGCCACACUGGGACUGAGACACGGCCCAGACUCCUACGGGAGGCAGCAGUGGGGAAUAUUGGACAAUGGGCGAAAGCCUGAUCCAGCAAUGCCGCGUGAGUGAUGAAGGCCUUAGGGUUGUAAAGCUCUUUUACCAGGGAUGAUAAUGACAGUACCUGGAGAAUAAGCUCCGGCUAACUCCGUG
rnacentral:rRNA from 1 species